rnacentral:rRNA from 1 species
AAUCCUAUUAUUUACCCGGUGAUUGUUUGUUUGGUUUUAGGUUGGGGUGACCGCGGAGUAUAAGAUAUCCUCCAUGAAAAAAAGCUAACUGCCCUUAUUAGAGAAAGACACUUCCAAAAAAUAAUAAAUUAAUUUUAAAUGAUCCGACNUUCGAUCAACGAACCAAGUUACCCUGGGGAUAACAGCGCANUCCGUCCCGAGAGCCCCUAUCGACAGGCGGGUUUACGACCUCGAUGUUGGAUCAGGGUAUCCCAGUGGUGCAGCAGCUACUAAAGGUUCGUUUGUUCAACGAUUAA